rnacentral:lncRNA from 1 species
AGAGGACUUGUUGGAUAAAUAAAUUUGGGAGUCAUCAAUCAUAGAUGGUAUUAAAAUAAUGUGGCUGGAUGAGAUCACUUAUAAGCUGUGUAGGUAGGAAAGAAACAAAGGACUAAGACAGAACCUGAGGAACUACAACAUUUAGAGAUUAAGCAAAAAAGUAAGGCAAUACAAAGAAAAAUUAAAAGCAGAAGCUCAGAAAAUGAGAGGAAAAUCAGGACUGGUGUCAUAAAAGCCCUAAAGGAAAUAGUCUUUUGAGGAAGAGGUGGCCAAAGAGGACAAACCCUACUGGGAGUAACAUGCAGCCGAGGACCCACUGGAUUUGGCAGGAGAGAAGACCACUGACAAACUUGUUAAGGGAAGUUCCAUCAAGGAGAGAAAUCUAGAAGUGGAAUUGCUGAGCUGUAGAGUAUGUGAAUCUCUACAACUUUCAACUUUACCAUGUAUUGUCAAAUUGCUCUCCAAAGUGAUGGUACCAAUUAAUGAUACUACCAAUAAGGAUCUCAACAGGACAAACACAAAGAAAAUAUCAAGGUGCAUCAUAGACAAAUUAUUGAAAAUCAGCAAUAAGGAGAAAACCUUAAAAACAGCAAGAUAAAAAGAUGCAUUAUGUGUAAAAUUAAAAAAGAAAACAAUGAUUGCUGAAUUCUUAUCAUACCAAUGCACAAAAGACAACAGAACAAUAUCUUUAAUGUGUGAAAAGUAAAAAAAAAAAUGUCAAACUAAGUUUUACAUUCAGGAAAAAUAUUCUUUGAAAAUAGAAGACAAUGAGAUUUCUGAUUUGUGGUUAUCACUCCCAUUCUCAUAAUAAGAAAAAAUCUGAAAAAACUGGAAAUCCACAACUCUUCUUAAAAUUGAGGUAACAGGGCAAGCCACUACCUUGAAUAUUAGAGACAGGAAGAUACAAAGAAUUCAGCUUAAAGAAAGAAGGAAGCCUUGGAGGAGAAGCCUGGUGCUGGAGCCUGUACCACUUUCCACAACAUCAACUGUGCUACUGUAUAAUAACAGGGCAUUAUAGCCAAAGAACUGUAAGCCUCAGACCCUAUUUAAGGAAGAGUCUCCAGGGAAAUCUAAAAAUAACAGGGAAGACUAAAACAAGGACACCCAGAGAAAAUGCUAGCCUUUGAUAUGUACAGCUAUAGCAACUGGCAAACACAAUGUAACUCCUAGCCAGAUCAACAUUGAACCUCACACAAAAGGUCUAUUUACUUCAUUUCCUUCUAAUUGAUACAUCCUCUCAGGCUGUCAGCAAAAAACUAGAAGACGUGAAAAUGCAAAAACUCUGUCUGAAGAGAGAAAGCAUGCCUUAGACUCAGACUGGCAGAAAUUUUGAGUGAUCAAACCAGAUAUUUAAAAUAACUAUGAUUAAAAUGCUAGCAGAAUGGAAAAAGUAAACAACAUGCACAAAUGGAAGGCAAAACAAAGACAUUUUCAAAUAAGCAAAAGGUGAUAGAAUGUGUCAUCCACAGACCUGCACUAUAAAAAAUGGUAGAGGAAGUUCUUCAGUAUGAAAGUGAAUGAUACCAGAUGGAAACUGAGAUCUACAAAAUGAAACAUCACUGGAAAUAGUAAAUACAUGGAGUUUCACCUGCCACCUGGAUCAUUUCCUAUUUUUCUGCAGCCACUUCAGGGCGGGGACCCAGUAUCACGAAGCUGCAAGGUAAAAAGGAUCAAACCUUAACUGCCUACAUGUGCUCACAGGAACAUAAGUGAGUGAGGCUCACCAGCAACCAGGAAGUGAGCUGAGCCUAACAUAUGGGAGAGAUCCUGUCUCAUCUGCAGGGAAGAGCUGCUAUAUAGGAAAGUAUCUGCUCAUUGCUGCCAUGUGGGAAUGCUGGUAUUGCUGGACUUUCUGAUGUUUUAGGAGAAACUGCUGAUCUGUGCAUGAAGUCUGAUAUAUAAAGAUGAUACUAUAUUUAUGUGUCUAUGGAUAAAUAAAUAAUGUCAACUGGUUCCAGAAAAAAAAAACAAAAACAAACAACAACAACAACAACAAAAAACCACUGUGUGGGCUAAACAAGCCUGCUGAUUAGAUUUGGCACAUUGACAGUGAGGUUAAGGUGCCUAAGUGCCUGAAAAACUUAUGUGUUUUUGUUUAUGAGAACAACUUCAGCAAAGUUUCAAGAUACAAAAUCAAUUUACAAAAAUCAGUAGCAUUUCUAUACAUCAACAACGUCUAAGAUGAGACCCAAAUCAAGAAUGAGGUCCCAUUCACAACAGUCACACACACAAAAUAUCUAGGAAUACAGCUAGCCAAGAAGGUGAAAGAUCUCUACAACAAGAUUAUAAAACACUGCUCAAAGAAAUCAGAGAUGACAUAAACAAAUGGAAAAAUAUUACAUGCUCAUAGAUAGUAAGAAUCAAUAUUGUUAAAAUGUCCAUAUUGCCCAAAGCAACUUAUAGAUUCAGUGCUAUUCCUAGCAAACUACCAGUGAUAUUUUUCACAGAAUUAGAAAAAAAAAAAAAACUAUUCAAAAAUCCUAUGGAACUUUUAGAGCCUGAAUAGUGAAAAAUAGGUUAAGCAAAAAGAACAAAACUGAAGGCAUCACGUUACCUGACUUUAAACCAUAUUACAGAGUUACAAUAACCAAAACAUCAUAGUACUGGUACAAAAACAGACACAUGGACCAAUGCAACAGAAUAGAGAGCCUAGAAAUAAAGCCACACACCUACAGUCAUCUGAUCUUUGACAACAUCUACAAAAACAAGCAAUGAGAAAAGACUUCCUGUUCAACAAAUGGUGCUGAGAUAACUGCCUAGCCAUAUGCAGAAGAUUGAAACUGGACCGCCCCCCCCACCCUUUUUUUUUUUUUUUUUUUUUUUUACCAUAUACAAAAACCAACUCAAGAUGGAUUAAAGACUUAAAUGUAAAACCUAAAACUAUAAAAAACCUAGAAGAAAUCCUAGGAAAAACUAUUAUGGACAUAGGUCCUGGCAAAGAUUUCAUGACAAAGAUGCCAAAAGCAAUUGCAACAAAAAGAAAAAUUGACACAUGGGACCUAAUUAAAUUAAUGAGCUUCUGUACAGCAAAAGAAACAAUCAACAGAGUGAAGAGACAACCUACAGAAUGGAAGAAAAUAUUUUCAAACUGCAUCUGACAAACUUCUAAUAUCUAGAAUCUAUAAGGAACUUAAACAAAAUAACAAGCAGAAAACAAACAAUCCCAUUAAAAAUUGGGCAAAGGACAUGAAUAGACACUUUUCAAAAGAAGACAUACACACAGUCAAUAAGCAUGAAAAAAUGCUCAACAUUACUAAUUAUUAAAGAAAUCCAAAUCAAAACCAAAUGAAAUUGGGCAAAGGGCAUGAACAGACACUUUUCAAAAGAAGACAUACACACAAGCCAAUAAGCAUGAAAAAAUGUUCAACAUCACUAAUUAUUAAAGAAAUCCAAAUCAAAACCAAAGAAAUUGGGCAAAGGACAUGAAUAGACACUUUUCAAAAGAAGACAUACACACAGCCAAUAAGCAUGAAAAAAUGCUGAACAUCACUAAUUAUUAAAGAAAUCCAAAUCAAAACCAAAAUGAAAUACCAUCACACUCCAAUCAGAAUGGCUAAUAUUAAAAGGUUAAAAAAUAACAGAUGCUGGUAAGGCUGUGGAGAAAAUAAAACACUUAUACACUGUUGGUGGGAAUGUAAGUUAGCUCAGCCAUUUUAGAAAACAGUUUGGCAAUUUCUCAAAUAACUUAAAAUAGAACUACCAUUUGACCCAGCAGUCCCAUUAUUGGGUAUAUACCCAAAGCAAUGUAAAUUUUCUACCAUAAAUUCACAUGCAUGCAUAUGUUCAUCACAGCACUAUUCACAAUAGCAGAAACAUGGAAUCAAAUGCUCUUCAACAGUAGACUGGAUGAAGAAAAUAUGGUACAUAUACACCAUGGAAUACUACACAGGUUUAAAAAGAACAAGACCAUGUCCUUUGCAGGGACAUGGAUGGAGCUGGAGGUCGUUACCCUAAGCAAACUAAUGCAGGAACAGAAUACUAAAUACUGCAUGUUCUCACUUACAAGUGAGAGCUAAACAUUGGGUACACAUGAACACAGAGAAGGAAACAACAGACUUUGGGACCUACUGGAAGGUAGAGGGCGGGACCAGGGUGAGGAUUGAAAAACUACCUAUUGAGUACUAUGUUUAACACCUGGGUGAUGAAAUAAUCUGUAUAACAAACCCCCAUGAUAUGCAAUUUACUUAUAUAAUAAACCUGCACAUGUUCACCUGAGUCUAAAAUAAAAGUUAAAAAAAAAGAAUCAAGAUUUGAGAAAAAAAAAAUGUUUAUGAGAACAAAUGCAUUCAAGUCUUUUUACCCUCCUAUCUACUUCCCAGGCCUUUAUUCAAUUUAUUUCUGCCUCCUGGAUUUUUCUCUAUUAUUUAAUCUCAUCUUCAAAGCCCUUCUUUCAUACCUUUUAUACCAAUUGAGAACUUUCUCUAUGGUGAGAAGGUGAAUUGAUAAGAAGGAAAUAUAAGGAGAUAACUGGUGAAGUAACAGACAAAACCUGGUAGAAAAUAGACACAACAGUUCCUCAAAUAUUUUGAAAAAUCUAGUCUUCUCUUUGGUACUAUUGCACUCAGAGGAGAGUUGAAGAUAACUUUUAUGUUAAUUGAAUUAUAAAGCAUUUUACAUUUCAUUAGUGUCUAACUAGAUUGUGGGUUCCUCAAUGGCAAGGAACUGGCAUUAAAUACGAAUUAUAUUCAGGGCUCCUAUAGAUCGGCAGAUAACUGGAUAUAUAAACAUCAACAAAUAAUUAACUACAAGUCAGUUAGGACUGACCACUGGUUAGUUUUAGUUAGGAGGAGAAUCAUAUUAAUACACAAUAGAUAUAACAAUAUUAGCUUUAGUUUAUUAGCUUUAGUUAGGAGGGGAAUCAUAUUAAUGUGCAAUUGAUAUAACAAUCUUUCAAUAUAGGGCUAAGGCUUUUGCUUUGCCUGUAGAUCUACUGACUGGAAUGGCCAGUUGACUAUUUCUCUCUUUUUAAUUCUUUUUCUCUUUAAUUUUUAAAUUUUGUUUUAUCAUGGUAAGAACCCUUAACAUGAGAUUUACCCCCUAAACAAAAUUCUAAGUGUACAGUACAGUAUUGCUGUAUAUACCUGUAUAGAGAUAAUGUUUUACAGCAGGUCUCUGAACUUCUUCAUCUUGCAUAAUUGAGACUUUAUGCUCAUUGAUUAGCAACUCACAAUUUCCUGCUUCCCUUAACCCCUGACAACCACCAUUCCACCCUCUGAUUCUAUGAGUCUAUUUUAGAUACCUCAUAUAAGUGGAAUUAUGCAGCCUUUGUCCUUCUGUGAUGGGCUUAUUUCACUUAGCUUAAUAUCCUCAAGGUUCAUCCAUGCUGUUGCAUAUUGCAGGGUUUCCUUUUCUGAUGGCCGAAUAUCAGCCAACUCUCUUGAGUGAUUGUACCCAUAACCUCUACAAUUUUAAGGUUCUUUAAAGUGAAGCAAGCUAUAAAGGCACUUGGAGGGAAUUUGAAUGUUUAAGCCUUUUAGUUUUUUAUAAUUUUCCUCCAAUCUUUUACCGUGGUCUUUAUCAUGACUAAUUUGACAAGUGUCUUUUACCAAGUUGACUUUAAUUACUGGUCUUGAUACAGUUGUAUUAAAUAUUUGUAUUGAGAUAGUUGUAUGAACUUUAUCAUAUAAAUACAAAUGUCUUUAUAAAACCUCAAGUUUUAUCGUUUCUCAGCCUUUUGGCUAAGAUCAAGUGUAAAAACUCACAUUUUAUUAGCUUACAUGAUAUUUCAUUCAAUCUUAUUACAUUAAAAAAUACAACAGAGGACAAUGAGGACAAAUACAACUGACUUUUGCUUAGCAUAUCACUGUACUGCUGGGAGAUAAGAUUCUGGCAUGCUGAACACUAACCCAACAGCACUAGACACCCUCUAUUCUGUAGGCAUAACUUUAAAUUUUUUACAAAAUGAAUGGAAGCUAUUGGAUAUUCUAUCAGAUCAUUAGGUGAAGGUUCAGGUAAGAAAGUAUUUACACUACUAUUGAUUGGAUUCAAGUAGCAUUUAUUGGGUUCUUUACAAUAAUAAUAUUUUCUCACCCAUGUAUAUGUUCAGUGCAAUUUCCAAGGUGCAUUUUCUUAUAUUAUCAUAUAAGAAUCCCUAUGAAUAAAACUUUUUUCCCUUUUGACAGAGGAGGAAUAUAAUUUUCAGAAAGGUUAAAGUGACAUCCCUAAGAUCAUGCAGCUUGAAAAUAACAGAGUGGAGUCUAGAAACCUGUUCUGGUCUGACCUCAAGUCCAGGGCUCUUUCUGCUUCCCCAGUGCUUCCUCUCUAUACCAGGCAGUUGGCUAAAUGAGCCUUAAAGACCCGUUCAGUUCUAGCAUGCUCUGAUUCUAUGAUAUAUUAGCAAUAUCCUGUAUACAUCAUGCAUUGUAUUGCUAGGAGCUAGCUGUGCCUUCAUAUCUCUGUGGCCACUGGCAAGAUGUGGAAAGAGGAGAUUAAGUGGAGGGGCCAAUUGGUUUCAGAUUGGUUGGGUAAAUGUUUCAGAACAUCUUUGGGUUUGUCCCUCUCUCCUUUGAUGAAUGGCUCUCACCUCUUUUUGACAUAUUGAUCUUGAGUGCUGGGUAUUUUUCUCUUACCAGCUUUGCUGCCAGUUUUCCAUCCAUCCCCCGGGGCUGAGAUGAGGUGAGAGGUAAGUUGUUUGUGAGUAUGACUUGACUGAGCAGUGCAACCAGGCUGAACGUUUAGAAAGCCCUUCUGUACUUGGAGCCUGCUUUCAUGUCUUGAAAAUCCUGAUUUAUUUCAGGACAGGGAAAAUCUGAGCUGGCAUGCAGAGUGGAAAUUAAAAUCUUAAAACUAUGUAUGAAAAUUGAAUAUUCCAAAUGGCCUGGUUUAAACAUCACUCCGCAUCGUUGAUCAAAUGUAAAAGUUCUUGAAAUGAAACGGGGAUUUAUGAGUAGGUAUAGGACUGGAGAAAGGCUUGACGAAUAUUUAUGGGUAACUUCAAGGAAUUCCACUCACUGCACUUUAGUCUGAUUUUUGUACCCUCAAGUCUUUGCUUUGGAGAUUUCAAGCCUGCAAAUGCUUAUAAAUUUAAAAAUAUUUUGGUUUGGCUGUAUUCUUUUAACUUCUGAAUUUUGUCAAGGAGUGGAAGAGAGACUAUAUAUAUUUAUUUCCACAUAUUUAUCACACUGCAUAUAAGUAUAUGCAUAUAUUUUUCUUUAGAUUUAUGUCUGUGACCUUGAGAAGAGAAACCUUGCUUUAAUUAUCUCUGCACACCCUGACCUAAUACAGUGCCUGGAAAAUAGGAGACAGAGACCCCUAUAUGUGCUCUACUGACUCAUAUUUGUUAGUUAUAUUUGUUGAACACCUCCUUGUGCUAGGCCCUGUGCAAGUUACCAAGGGAUGUACAGAGACAAAUGGAGAGAGCAGGAAUUUAAAAAAUGACCUUAACUUUAAAACAUAAAGAAAUAAAAUUUUAAAAUGCAAAACAUAAAACCAUCCAGACUUACAAAUCAAUUCCUUUUUUGUAAGCUUCAGUCAACAGCCCUGCAGGUGAGCAAAUGUUGAUCAUUUCAUAUACAUAUCUUAGGUUUGGAAGGAAGAGGCAGGGAUGUCUAUUUGAAUUUUAUUCUCCCUUUGGCUGGAGAGGAAUGAGAUUUACACAUACAACCUUUGUUGUUGGACAGGUUGGUGACAGUGGUGUAAGCGUCAUCAAUGAAAUCCAAGACAUGGUUUUAGGUACUUCCACAUAAAUUAUCUCAAAAGUUCUGUAAGAUUGGGAAUUUUACUUAUUUAUUCAUUUAUUUAUUUUUAGAUGGGAUCUUGCUCUGUUGGCCAGGCUGGAGUGCAGUGGCAUGAUCUUGGCUCACUGCAACCUCCACCUCCUGGGUUCAAGCAAUUCUCUGCCUCAGCCUCCUGAGUAGCUGGGAUGACAGGCAGCUGCCACCAUGCCUGGCUAAGUUUUGUGUUUUUAGUAGAGAUGGGGUUUCACCAUCUUGGCCAGCCUGGUCUUGAACUCCUGACCUCGUGAUCCACCCCCACCCUACCCUCCCAAAGUGCUGGGAUUACAGGUGUGAGCCACUGCGCCCAGCCAGGAAUUUUACUUAUAUAUUUUUUAAAUGCUCUUCCUCUUCCUGAAAGACUUACCUUCUACCUUCCAUCUGUUAAACACUCUCUGUCUUUCAGGUGACAGCUCCAGGGGUGCCCCUUGUAUGAUGCCUCCUCUUCUAACUGCAUGCUGGUUCAUAGUCUCCUUCCUUUCUACUCAUGUAAUGCUUUGCAUAUUCCUCAAGCAUGGCACAUAUGCAUCUGCAUGGCAAAUAGUCUUUUCUGAAGGUUGGACUGUGAGCUCCUCAAAGCAGCUUACUGAUUCACAGUAAAUACCAUUCUUCCAUGCAAGUGCUCAAACUGGGACUCUGGGAGCUUGUCCUACCACCUUCUCAACCUUGCUACUACUCAUGCAAUGAGUCAUCAGGUCCUUUGCAUUUUACCCCUAAAUACAACUUGGAGCCUCCAACUCUUUCCACUGUGGCCAUUUAGUUCACGUCAACCUCACGUCUCUUCAGAGAGCUCCUGGCUGGCCCCACUAUUUUCACUCUCCUAAAACUUUCUCUUUUUUCCCUGCUUAAAACUCUUCUGCAAAUCCCCAUUACAGCUAAAAUGAAAUCCACAGAUCUUAACAUCCCCUACAGAUCCCUGCAUGAUCUGGUUCCUUCCUGCCUAUCCAGCUCUAUCUUGGACCUCGGCUCCCUGACCUCCAAAUGCAUUGGCAUCUUCUUUGUCAAGUGCAUUUGUACAUCACAUUUCUUCUGCCUAGAAUGUUCUCUGUCCCACUGUUCACAUAGCUAGCUCCUGCUAUCUUCAGAUCUUAGCUCAAAUGCCACAAUCACAAGUGGACCCCUGAGAUUUUCUUCAGAG